rnacentral:rRNA from 1 species
GUCUACAGUCAUGCCACCCUGAACAUGCCCAAUCUCAUUGGAUCUUGGAAGCUAAGCAGGGUCAGGUCAGAUUAGUACUUGGAUGGAAGACCACCGAGGAAUACCAGAUGCUGUAGGCA